rnacentral:lncRNA from 1 species
UACAUGUUCUGAUCAGCAUUUAGUAGUUACUAUCGAUUUACAAAGUACUCAACAAUCUCCCAAGCUAUUAGUAUCUUCUCAGUAUUACAAACAGAAAUUACAAUUCCAUGAUUUCACAAUUUUUAAAAAUAAUAUGAAAGAUGUUUUCUUGUAUGUUUGGCAUGAGGGUGAUGGCGGUGUAUCAGCCAAUGAAUUUGUUAGCUGUAUAAUUCAUUUCAUUGAAGGCGAAAUUCACAGAGGUUAUAAAAAGAUUACUCUCAUUUCUGAUGACUGUACAUACCAAAUAAAAACAAGAUUCUGUCAAGUGCAUUGGCAGAUAUUUCUAAAUUUAGAUCCAUUGAAAUUGAGCAAAUUAUUUUGGAAAAAGAAUACAUGAUGAUGGAGGUGGAUAGUGUCCAUUCUACACUUGAAAAGUUGUGCACUCCACC